GCAAGUCGUGCGAGAAAUAUCUUCGGAUAUGAGUAGAGCGGCGGACGGGUGAGUAACGCGUAGGAAUCUACCUAGUAGAAGGGGAUAGCCCGAGGAAACUCGGAUUAAUACCGUAUACCUCCUUAGGGAGAAAGAGGGCCUCUCUUGAUGCUCUCGCUAUUAGAUGAGCCUGCGUAAGAUUAGCUUGUUGGUGAGGUAAUGGCUCACCAAGGCUACGAUCUUUAGCUGGUCUGAGAGGACGAUCAGCCACAUUGGGACUGAGACACGGCCCAGACUCCUACGGGAGGCAGCAGUGGGGAAUAUUGGACAAUGGGCGCAAGCCUGAUCCAGCCAUACCGCGUGUGUGAAGAAGGCUCUAGGGUUGUAAAGCACUUUAAGCAGGGAGAAAAAGUUAUAAGUUAAUACCUUAUAACCCUGAUGUUACCUGCAGAAUAAGCACCGGCUAAUUCCGUGCCAGCAGCCGCGGUAAUACGGAAGGUGCAAGCGUUAAUCGGAAUUACUGGGCGUAAAGCGCGCGUAGGUGGUUUGUUAAGUUGGAUGUGAAAGCCCUGGGCUCAACCUAGGAACUGCAUCCAAAACUAACUCACUAGAGUACGAUAGAGGGAGGUAGAAUUCAUAGUGUAGCGGUGGAAUGCGUAGAUAUUAUGAAGAAUACCAGUGGCGAAGGCGGCCUCCUGGAUCUGUACUGACACUGAGGUGCGAAAGCGUGGGUAGCGAACAGGAUUAGAUACCCUGGUAGUCCACGCCGUAAACGAUGACAACUAGCUG
rnacentral:rRNA from 1 species